ACAACCAGCAUCUAAUAUGUACUGAUGAUCUUCUUGUAGUUGAAUAUUAUCUGCAACUUCUUGAAAAAUCUGUCUGUUCUCUUCUUGUUGCUCCAAUCUUAAUCUUGUGGUUCUCGGAAGUACAGGAUUUAAUGAGGUUAAAUAUCCUCUAUAUCGUCUUUUUGGCAGAGAAUAAUCGUUUUCCAUUCCAAAGAACAAAUCUUGAUUGCGAUAUUUAUGAUCCAAACUUUCUUUAUGAUGUUACAAUUGUACACUUCGCAAUAAACAGCCAGUUUUUGGCCUUUUACAUUAAAAAUCAAUGUUAUCCAACGUUAUCCAGCAUCUUAAGAUAAAUUCAAGCGGUCUUAAAUAUAACAUCUGACUAUCAGUACCGAUCUUAGUUUCUUUAAUAUGCAUGUCAAAGAGCCCGCGCGGCCGCGCGAUGGAACAAGUGCAAAACGAUUUCGAUGUGUAAUUGUCUAAGGUCGCGGUCACGUCGUGACGAAGCUGUGCUGUGGUCGUGGACAUUGUGGUGCUAAUAACAAAAUUAUCAUCGUGUGCCAUUCUUAGACAACGCUGCAUUAAAUUCAAAUCAAGUUAGUCGUUGACAAAAAGAUGUGGUGCUGGGUCAAGUUUGUAGCUGACAAAUCAGAAAUAAUAAGACCUUUGGAAUUCUUUGAAAAUUUUAGAACUAUAAAAUUGGAAAAAAUAAGGAGUACCAGGUAUUCUGGUCCAAAGAGGAUGUCGACACUCCAGAAAAGCUACUCAAGAAAGAAGGGAAAAUUAUAUACGUAGAUAAUGUAAAAAAAAAGAAACAGCAAAACACCUAUUCCAGGGUAUUAUCGGGCAGUACUGCUACAAUUUGCUGAAACUGUCGAAGAAUUAGAGAAAUCCCUAAAUGAGAAGCGAGUAUCUUUUUCCCAAAGAAAAUUGGGCAGUUAUACAC